rnacentral:RNase_P_RNA from 1 species
UGAGCAGACUAUGCGGUUGCGUGAACGUGUUUCAGUUCACGAGGAAAGUCCGGGCAUCACAGGGCGGGAUAACUGCUAACGGCAGCCGGGGGUGACCCUAGGGCAAGUGCAACAGAAAAGAGACUGCCGGAUCUGUAUUUUUACAUCCGGUGAUGGUGGAAUGGCGAGGUAAAAGCUCACCGGGGUGCAGGAGACUGUACCGCCGUGUAAACCCUAUCCGAUGCAACGUUGAAAUGGUGUGUGCUGGUCGUAACGCCUGCCCGGCGGAUCACUGCACAGCAACGGCUUGAAUCAUCCGGCAACGGAUGAUCUAGAUAAAUAACCGCACACGACAGAACCCGGCUUAUCGGUCUGGUCAUAAC